GGGGUGUUAGCUCAGUUGGUAGAGCAGUGGACUCUUAAUCCAUAGGUCGCGGGUUCGAACCCCUCACACCCCACCA
rnacentral:tRNA from 1 species